rnacentral:rRNA from 1 species
GACGAACGCUGGCGGCGUGCUUAACACAUGCAAGUCGAACGGAAAGGCCCUGCUUUUGUGGGGUGCUCGAGUGGCGAACGGGUGAGUAACACGUGAGUAACCUGCCCUUGACUUUGGGAUAACUUCAGGAAACUGGAGCUAAUACCGGAUAGGAGCUCCUGCUGCAUGGUGGGGGUUGGAAAGUUUCGGCGGUUGGGGAUGGACUCGCGGCUUAUCAGCUUGUUGGUGGGGUAGUGGCUUACCAAGGCUUUGACGGGUAGCCGGCCUGAGAGGGUGACCGGCCACAUUGGGACUGAGAUACGGCCCAGACUCCUACGGGAGGCAGCAGUGGGGAAUAUUGCACAAUGGGCGGGAGCCUGAUGCAGCAACGCCGCGUGCGGGAUGACGGCCUUCGGGUUGUAAACCGCUUUCGCCUGUGACGAAGCGUGAGUGACGGUAAUGGGUAAAGAAGCACCGGCUAACUACGUG